AAUAGAUACCCCGGUAGUCCUAGCCGUAAACGAUACUCGCUAGGUGUCGGCCACGGUGUGACCGUUGUCGGUGCCGUAGGGAAGCCGUGAAGCGAGCCACCUGGGAAGUACGGCCGCAAGGCUGAAACUUAAAGGAAUUGGCGGGGGAGCACCACAACGGGUGGAGCUUGCGGUUUAAUUGGAUUCAACGCCGGAAAUCUUACCGGGACCGACAGCAAUAUGAAGGCCAGGCUGAAGACUUUGCCGGAUUAGCUGAGAGGUGGUGCAUGGCCGUCGUCAGUUCGUACUGUGAAGCAUCCUGUUAAGUCAGGCAACGAGCGAGACCCACGCCCACAGUUGCCAGCGUACUCUCCGGAGUGACGGGUACACUGUGGGGACCGCCGCUGCUAAAGCGGAGGAAGGAAUGGGCAACGGUAGGUCAGUAUGCCCCGAAUAUCCCGGGCUACACGCGAGCUACAAUGGUUGGUACAAUGGGUAUCUACCCCGAAAGGGGAUGGAAAUCUCCUAAAGCCAAUCUUAGUUCGGAUUGAGGGCUGCAACUCGCCCUCA
rnacentral:rRNA from 1 species